GACGAACGCUGGCGGCGUGCUUAACACAUGCAAGUCGAACGGAAAGGCCCUUCUUUUGUUGGUUGCUCGAGUGGCGAACGGGUGAGUAACACGUGAGUAACCUGCCCUUGACUUUUGGAUAACUUCAGGAAACUGUGGCUCAUACCGGAUAUGAGCUCCUGCUGCAUGGUGGGGGUUGGAAAGUUUCGGCGGUUGGGGAUGGACUCGCGGCUUAUCAGCUUGUUGGUGGGGUAGUGGCUUACCAAGGCUUUGACGGGUAGCCGGCCUGAGAGGGUGACCGGCAAAAUUGGGACUGAAAUACGGCCAGAACUCCUAGGGGAGGAAGAAGUGGGGAAUAUUGAAAAAUGGGCGGAAGCCUGAUGCAGCAACGCCGCGUGCGGGAUAAGGGCCUUCGGGUGGUAAACCGCUUUCGCAGGUGACGAAGCGGGAGUGACGGUAAUGGGUAAAGAAGCACCGGCUAACUACGUG
rnacentral:rRNA from 1 species